CCCAUGCAGUUUAUCGCGCAUGGAUGGGAUAUGCAGGAAAGCAAUAAUCAAGUUGGGAGUGAUGCCCCGCCAUACAUGCAGAACGAAAGCUGAAAACUAAAAAUACUGUGCCCAUCCAGUGGUUUUUAAAGUAGGUGAGUAGCGUCUAGCCCCGCGAGAGAUUGGGCA
rnacentral:sRNA from 20 species